rnacentral:rRNA from 1 species
GUGAGGAAUAUUGCACAAUGGACGCAAGUCUGAUGCAGCAACGCCGCGUGGGCGAUGAAGGCCUUCGGGUUGUAAAGCCCUUUUCUGAGGGACGAGGAAGGACGGUACCUCAGGAAUAAGUCACGGCUAACUACGUGCCAGCAGCCGCGGUAAUACGUAGGUGGCCAGCGUUAUCCGGAUUCACUGGGCGUAAAGCGCGUGUAGGUGGUUUCGUAAGUCGGGCGUGAAAGCUCCUGGCUUAACUAGGAGAGGUCGUUCGAUACUGCGGGACUUGAGGUCGGGAGAGGGACGUGGAAUUCCCGGUGUAGUGGUGGAAUGCGUAGAUAUCGGGAGGAACACCUGUGGCGAAGGCGACGUCCUGGCCCGCACCUGACACUGAGACGCGAAAGCGUGGGGAGCGAACGGGAUUAGAAACCCUAGUAGUCC